GACGAACGCUGGCGGCGUGCUUAACACAUGCAAGUCGAACGGAAAGGUCCUGCUUUUGUGGGGUGCUCGAGUGGCGAACGGGUGAGUAACACGUGAGUAACCUGCCCUUGACUUUGGGAUAACUUCAGGAAACUGGGGCUAAUACCGGAUAGGAGCUCCUGCUGCAUGGUGGGGGUUGGAAAGUUCCGGCGGUUGGGGAUGGACUCGCGGCUUAUCCGCUUGUUGGUGGGGUAGUGGCUUACCAAGGCUUUGACGGGUAGCCGGCCUGAGAGGGUGACCGGCCACAUUGGGACUGAGAUACGGCCCAGACUCCUACGGGAGGCAGCAGUGGGGAAUAUUGCACAAUGGGCGGGAGCCAGAUGCAGCAACGCCGCGUGCGGGAUGACAGGCUUCGGGUUGUAAACCACUUUCGCCUGUGACGAGGCGUGAGUGACGGUAAUGGGUAAAGAAGCACCGGCUAACUACGUG
rnacentral:rRNA from 1 species